UCCGUAGGUGAACCUGCGGAGGGAUCAUUACCGAGUUUACAAAACUCCCAAACCCCUGUGAACUAUACCUGUCACUGUUGCUUCGGCGGUACCGACCCCCCGGGAAACCGGGACCAGGCGCCCGCCGGGGAUCCUAGUAACAUCUUGAAUCUUCUAUAUAAUAUGGCAUCUUCUGAGUGGUGGGAAAAAAAUGAAUCAAAACUUUCAACAACGGAUCUCUUGGUUCUGGCAUCGAUGAAGAACGCAGCGAAAUGCGAUAAGUAAUGUGAAUUGCAGAAUUCAGUGAAUCAUCGAAUCUUUGAACGCACAUUGCGCCCGUCAGUAUUCUGGCGGGCAUGCCUGUUCGAGCGUCAUUACGCCCCUCAAGCCCCCUGUGGGUUUGGUGUUGGGGAUCGGCGAAGCUUUUUUCAGCACGCGCCGUCCCUUAAAUUUAUUGGCGGUCUCGCCGUGGCCUUUCCUCUGCGCAGUAGUAACUCACUCGCAACGGGAGCCCGGCGCGGUCCACUGCCGUAAAACCCCCCAAUCAACUUUGUUACAGUUGACCUCGAAUCAGGUAGGACUACCCGCUGAACUUAAGCAUAUCAAUAAGCGGAGGA
rnacentral:rRNA from 1 species